ACGGGAGGCAGCAGUGGGGGAUAUUGCACAAUGGGGGAAACCCUGAUGCAGCGACGCCGCGUGAGUGAAGAAGUAUUUCGGUAUGUAAAGCUCUAUCAGCAGGAAAGAUAAUGACGGUACCUGACUAAGAAGCACCGGCUAAAUACGUGCCAGCAGCCGCGGUAAUACGUAUGGUGCAAGCGUUAUCCGGAUUUACUGGGUGUAAAGGGAGCGUAGACGGCAUGGCAAGCCAGAUGUGAAAUGCGGGGGCUCAACUCCUGAACUGCAUUUGGAACUGUCAAGCUAGAGUAUCGGAGAGGUAAGUGGAACUCCUAGUGUAGCGGUGGAAUGCGUAGAUAUUAGGAAGAACACCAGAGGCGAAGGCGACAUACUGGACUGUAACUGACACUGAGGCUCGAAAGCGUGGGGAUCAAACAGGAUUAGAUACCCUGGUA
rnacentral:rRNA from 1 species